rnacentral:rRNA from 1 species
AGAGUUUGAUCCUGGCUCAGAACAAACGCUGGCGGCGUGCCUAAUACAUGCAAGUCGAACGGGGAAAGCUUUCGGGUGAGUACUAGUGGCGCACGGGUGAGGAAUACAUGGGUAAUCUGCCCUCGAGUUGGGGAUAACCAGUCGAAAGAUUGGCUAAUACCGGAUAAGACCACAGGAUCUGCGGAUCUAGGGGUUAAAGGUUUUUCGCUUGAGGAUGAGCCCAUGUGGGAUUAGCUAGUUGGUGAGGUAAUGGCUCACCAAGGCGACGAUCCCUAACUGGUCUUAGAGGAUGAUCAGUCACACUGGAACUGUGACACGGUCCAGACUCCUACGGGAGGCAGCAGUAGGGAAUAUUGCACAAUGGGGGAAACCCUGAUGCAGCGACGCCGCGUGAGUGAUGAAGGCCUUCGGGUCGUAAAGCUCUGUCGUAUGGGACUAACACAAUGAAGGUACCAUGCAAGAAAGGAUCGGCUAACUUCGUGCCAGCAGCCGCGGUAAGACGAGGGAUCCUAGCGUUGUUCGGAAUUAUUGGGCGUAAAGCGGGUGUAGGCGGACUUGUAAGUCAGAUGUGAAAUCCCAGGGCUCAACCCUGGAAGUGCACUUGAUACUGCAAGUCUUGAGUGUGGUAGAGGCUAUUAGAAUUCCUGGUGUAGUGGUGAAAUACGUAGAUAUCAGGAGGAAUACCGGAGGCGAAGGCGGAUAGCUGGGCCAACACUGACGCUGAGACCCGAAAGCGUGGGGAUCAAACAGGAUUAGAUACCCUGGUAGUCG